AAUAAUUCAUUUACCUCAAAAAUGACUUCUCUCCACUGCUCCAUUAUGUUGGUAUUCGUGUUCGUGUUCGUAUUCGUUCCCGUUCCAACGGCUCAUGCCCAAAUCGGGCUAGUCCUUCCCCUCCGGAAGGACUCCAAAACAUCCCAAUUCUACACCACAUUCCAAAUGGGCAGCCACCGCGCCACCAUCAACGCCGUCGCCGACCUCGGCGGCGAGCACCUUUGGCUCAGCUGCGACGGCUACACCUCCGCCACCUACGCCCCCAUCCCUUGCGACUCCGCCAAAUGCGAGGUCGCAGAGGGAAUCGGCUGCAUCGGGUGCAACGGCCCCGCCCGCCCCGGCUGCAGCAACAACACCUGCGGCGCCGCCUCCGGCAGCCCCUUCAUGCCCUACCUCACCUCCAGCGGCUUCUUCGAGGACACUCUCUCGACCAAGGACCGCGUCGAGCUGCCGGAGAUCCUCUUCUCCUGCGUAGACGACGACUACCUCGUCGGCUACGCCGCCGGCGCCACCGGCAUGGCCGGCCUCGGCCGCACCGGCAAUGCCUUCCACAAAAUCGUGUCGGGCAGGAUGAACCUGCCCGACCGGUUCUCGAUAUGCCCGCCGGCGUCCGGGAUCGGAAAACUGACGAUCGGCGGCGGACUUCCGGCGAAGUCCGAAAUCUCCGGUUUACUGAAAUCGACGCCGUUGAUCGUCAACGAAUUCCCGGGCGGAUCCGUCGCGGGGCGCGAUCCGUCGCACGAGUACUUCAUCGACGUGAGGUCGAUUAAGGUCGCCGGCGAGGCGGUGGAGGUGAAGGAAUCGUAUUUUGCGAUCGGAAAAGAUCGCACCGGCGGCACGAUGAUCAGCAGCGUGCAGAACUACACCGCCAUGCACACCUCGAUCCUCAAGCCGGUGGCGCGGGCGUUCGACAAGGCGGCGGCGGAUAUGGGGAUGAGGAGCGCGGCGGCGGUGGCGCCGUUCAGGGCGUGCUACAGGGCGGAGACGGUGAAGAGGACGGCGGCGGGGCCGGAGGUGCCGGCGAUCGAUCUGAUUCUGCCCGGGAAUGACGUGUACUGGCGGAUCUCGGGGGCGAAUUCGAUGGUGGAGGUUGAUCGGAAGACGAUGUGCCUGGCGUUGGUGGACGCGGGGUCGCGGCCGGAGACGUCGGUGGUGAUCGGAGCUCAUCAAUUGGAGGAGAAUUUCUUGGAGUUCGAUGUGGCGGCGUCGCGGCUGAGGUUUUCUUCUUCGCUUUUGGUGAAUAACAAGAGCUGCUCCCGCCUUUAAAUAUGUUUAAAUUAUUUUGUUGUUGUUUUUUUCUUUUGAGGGUUAAAUUAUGUUGUUUUUGUAAUUGGUUUUCUUUAUGUUUGUUGUAAUUAUGCUGUUUACUUCUUCAUAUGUUUGCUGUCGUGUUUUUAGUUAUGGUUUGAGUUUUAUGAAUGGGAAGUAUAAAGCUAAGAGGGGUUCUGUGUUGAUGUAUUUUUUUAGAUUACUAGUGUUUUGAAGUUUGCUACAGUUUAUUAGUUUAUGUAGGAAAGAAAUUCGACGAUCGGAUAAAUUUGAUAUAAAUAAAUAUAUAAUUACUAUAUCUUGGAAUAAUAUUAUAAUUAAUGGAAAUUCAAUUUGUAUAAAGUUCAAAUACAAAGACAAAAUUGGUUAGUAAUAUACAUAAAUCAAAAAGGGAGUCAUGUGAUAUUCAAUUUGUAUAAAGUAAAAGGUCCGACAAAGAAAAAGAGUCAUGUGACUCGGGAUAGGAGGACCACCCACUAAAUAAAAAACAACAGAAAUGGAUGGAUGCAGACUAAUUAUCCACUAAUUACCCACAAAUAGAUAAAAGUGGGUAAUUCUACAGAAAAUCCAAUCAGGAGACAAAGUUGAGUGGAAAGAAAAGCAGUUGAGCCUUACCAGCAAUUAUCACAAAAGAUAAAGGGAAGGUUCAACUCCAUGUAAAGGUACUAGCUGGCGUCGACAAUCAUGGCCGACAAAAGAAGGUGGUAGUCACAAUUCUCCUCAUAGGGGAUUUUAUGAAAUAAAUUAAGUAUUUUAUAAUUUCUCUAUAAACGCUUAGUUCUGUCCAACUUUCCAAAAUUUGAAAGAUUUUCAUUCAUUUUCCGACAAAAUAUUGUACGUUGAACCUUAGAAUUUCCAUAAGAAAUCAUCUCUUAACCAUCUCUUGCGAGUGCGUGGUUGGAUUUAUCCGUAAAACGAGGGUGAUUGAUUAUGGGUAAUUCGAAAGGUACUGCUAAAGGAGGAGGGUUGCAACCAUCUCUUGCGAGUGCGUGGUUGGGCAGAGUCUGAGAGUGGCCGACGGUCCGUAAAACGCAACAGGUUUGACUCCGAAAGCAGUUUUCGACUAAAGAUAUAAUGUUGGUUUAUGUUAUUAUUAGUUUUAUUAUGAUACAGAAGCAUGUUGGGCCUGAUAAUUUGAUUUGUUUUUUACUUUAUACUUUUUUAAGAAGCUUAUUUGGAUUAUUUAGUCCGAAGAAAAAAUAUUUGGGGGUAGUUGUGUUAUUUUGCUUAAAAUAGGGAUAGAUUUCUAAUUAAAAAAAGAUGGGCGUGUCAAAAAUGAACAAACCUCUAAAUUCAUGUAUUUUAUUGGACUUUCCUAAAUUGGUGUUAAAANAAAUUAUUUUCAUAGUUGGUAUAUUUUCAUGCUAAUUUCUCUUAGUUAGAGCACUCCCAGCAGAUCACUUAAAUGCAUCCAUAACUCUAAAUUUAGGCUAAAACAAUUUAAAAGGAGAUAAAAAAUGCAUCCAGCAGAUCCCCUAAAUUGGAUGGGGCCCAUAAAAAAUUUUACACCUUCCUAAAUUUAAUCUUAAAUUUACACCCAUCUUAAAUUUAUUUUAAACUUAUAAUUAGUAGGACCCACACAUAAUUAUUAUUUUUAUGUAGAAAAUAGGAGAUUUGGUGUAUGCAUUUAUAAAAUCGAGAUUCUAAAAUUAAAUAGGAAAGCUUUAGGGAAAAAUAUAGGAGCAUAAUUUUAAGAUUUUUGCUGUAAUGCUCCUAUAUCACCUUACGUAAGAGUAUUGAGUUGGUUCAAAAAUUAGGUUUACUUAGUUUUUUUUUUUUUUUUUUUUAGAAUUCGAAGAUUUAAGUUCUAGAAAUAUUGGUCAAAAUCGUACACAUUUUCGGAAUCCGCAUAUGAUCACAAAACCGUCAUGUAACUGUCACACGUGUGCAUAUCUAAUCAAUACUACUACAUGUUGAUAUUGUCAAAUAACUGUAAUAUUUUACUAUCUACAGAAAUAACUAUAUUAUUUUACAUUCUUUAUUUUCAUUUUGAGUUUUUAAGUGUAGUAUUUUCUUUUUCAUUUUAAGUUUUUAACUACACACAAUCAAUAUACGUACUUGUCUUAAUAUAUAACUACACAUACAAGAAAAUGCUCCAAUAAUGACAUAAUUUUGGUAGAAUUGCUAUCAUAAAAAGCCGUCACUAAAUAAAAUUGUGACAUAUCUUGUAAUAAUUAUUACAGCUAUUAUAACAUGUUAUAAAGUAUAUAUUGAUAUACUUCACUCAAUUCCAUUUCAAGUGACACAAAAUUAUAGAAUUGUCCUAUGGACCAUUUAAAGUGGGACGAAUGAAGUACUAAUUUGAAACAGUCAACUAGUUUUAUGGCUCUUGGUGAACACUAAAUAUCUAGUAAACUAAACUUGAAUUCAUAUAGUUAGUAAAAUAGACUCAGCUAUAUUAAAAUUAAUUUUUUAAAACAACUUUAUUAAAAUCUUAAAUUAUCGGGUUCGAUCCGAUCAAAUUAAUUAACUCAGUGAAUAUAUCCAUCAGACGAGUAACUAAUAGUUAUUGAUUUUAUUUCCUAAAAAACGAAUUUAAUUUGUCUAGAAAUGUUUUAGGUUGGGCAAUGUUUAUCCACUAGCCAAUAAUAUGACACCAACUUUGACCAUCCAAAUUUACCAUAAUACCACUAUUUGACUAUUAAGCAAAUACAACUGUCUGGACUAUACUCAUCCAAACAAACCGCAUCUCUAUUACAAUCAAUGCAGCUUUUAAUCAACACACCAACUUUGAAUAUACAAAAAUUGCUACAAUGCCAUUCUUUAAUCCCUAUAAAUACUCACAUAUGCAAUAUCAUUAUACCAUCACCAACUACAAUGGCUUCUUCUUUCUGCUACACCAUUCUGUUGAUCCUCGUCCUCGUGACGAGCCAUGCCCAGACCGGCCUAGUCCUCCCCCUCCGGAGGGACGCCGCGACGUCCCAAUUCUACACGACGUUCCAAAUGGGCAGCAACCGCGCCACCAUCAACGCCGUCGUCCACCUCAGCGGCCAGCACCUCUGGUUCGACUGCGACAACUACACCUCCGCCACCUACGCCCCCAUCCCCUGCGGCUCGGCCAAAUGCGAGGCCGCAGACGGAAUGGGGUGCAACGGCUGCAACGGCCCCGCCCGCCCCGGCUGCACCAACAACACCUGCGGCACCGCCUCCUCCAACCCCUUCAUCUUCUACAUCACAUCCAACGGCUUAUACGAGGACACGUUCUCCUCCAAGGACCGCGUCGAGCUGCCGGAGUUCAUCUUCUCCUGCGUGAACAACGACUACCUCGCCGGCCUCGCCUCCGCCGCCGCCGGCAUGGUCGGCCUCGGCCGCCGCUUCGACACCGCCUUCCACAAAGUCGUGGCGGACAAGUUGAACCUGCCCAACCGGUUCUCGAUCUGCCCGCCGUCGGCGGGGAUCGGGAAGCUGACGAUCGGCGGCGGAUUGCUGGCGAAGUCCGAUAUCUCCGGGAUGCUGAAAUCCACGCCGCUGAUCGUGAACAAACCGGUGAGCAAUCAGCCGUUUUUCGCGCUGAACGAUCUGUCGGAGGAGUACUUCAUCGACGUGAGGUCGAUUAGGGUCGCCGGGAGGCGGUGGGUGAAGGAAUCGUAUUUUAUCGAUAAGGAUCGCGUGGGCGGCACGAAGAUCAGCAGCGUGCAGAACUACACCGCCAUGCACAC
rnacentral:lncRNA from 1 species